CGAUUAGGCAGCAGUGGGGAAUAUUGGGCAAUGGGCGGAAGCCUGACCCAGCCAUGCCGCGUGCAGGAAGACGGUCCUAUGGAUUGUAAACUGCUUUUAUACGGGAAGAAACACCCCCUCGUGAGGGGACUUGACGGUACCGUAAGAAUAAGGAUCGGCUAACUCCGUGCCAGCAGCCGCGGUAAUACGGAGGAUCCAAGCGUUAUCCGGAAUCAUUGGGUUUAAAGGGUCCGUAGGCGGCCUUAUAAGUCAGUGGUGAAAUCUCCUAGCUCAACUAGGAAACUGCCAUUGAUACUGUAGGGCUUGAAUUAUUGUGAAGUAACUAGAAUAUGUAGUGUAGCGGUGAAAUGCUUAGAUAUUACAUGGAAUACCAAUUGCGAAGGCAGGUUACUAACAAUAUAUUGACGCUGAUGGACGAAAGCGUGGGUAGCGAACAGGAUUAGAUACCCUGGUAGUCCACGCCGUAAACGAUGGAUACUAGCUGUUGGGGGCAACUUCAGUGGCUAAGCGAAAGUGAUAAGUAUCCCACCUGGGGAGUACGAACGCAAGUUUGAAACUCAAAGGAAUUGACGGGGGCCCGCACAAGCGGUGGAGCAUGUGGUUUAAUUCGAUGAUACGCGAGGAACCUUACCAAGGCUUAAAUGUAAAUUGACAGGACAGGAAACUGUUUUUUCUUCGGACAAUUUACAAGGGGCUGCAUG
rnacentral:rRNA from 1 species